UACAAGGUGGUUGAAAUAUAAACAAUAAACUGUAAAUUUAUAUAUGGGUAACACCCUCUUGUAU
rnacentral:tRNA from 1 species